rnacentral:rRNA from 1 species
CAGUCGCCACGGUAAUACGUAGGUGGCAAGCGUUGUCCGGAAUUAUUGGGCGUAAAGGGCUCGCAGGCGGUUUCUUAAGUCUGAUGUGAAAGCCCCCGGCUCAACCGGGGAGGGUCAUUGGAAACUGGGAAACUUGAGUGCAGAAGAGGAGAGUGGAAUUCCACGUGUAGCGGUGAAAUGCGCAGAGAUGUGGAGGAACACCAGUGGCGAAGGCGACUCUCUGGUCUGUAACUGACGCUGAGGAGCGAAAGCGUGGGGAGCGAACAGGAUUAGAUACCCCGGUAGUCCCUGUCUCUUAUAC